GGAACUGAGACACGGUCCAGACACCUACGGGUGGCAGCAGUCGAGAAUCAUUCGCAAUGGGGGAAACCCUGACGAUGCGACGCCGCGUGGAGGAUGAAGGCCUUAGGGUUGUAAACUCCUGUCAAGAGGGAAUAAGCAAGUGAAGGUACCUCUAGAGGAAGGGGCGGCUAAUUCCGUGCCAGCAGCCGCGGUAACACGGAAGCCCCGAGCGUUGUUCGGAUUCAUUGGGCGUAAAGGGUGCGUAGGCGGCGCGGAAAGUCCGGCGUGAAAGGCAGGGGCUCAACCUCUGGACUGCGUUGGAUACUUCCGUGCUUGAGGACUGGAGGGGAGACUGGAAUUCACGGUGUAGCAGUGAAAUGCGUAGAUAUCGUGAGGAAGACCGGUGGCGAAGGCGAGUCUCUGGACAGAUCCUGACGCUGAGGCACGAAGGCUGGGGGAGCGAACAGGAUUAGAUACCCUGGUAGUCCCAGCAGUAAACGAUGUGAGCUUGAUGUGGGGGGAUUCGACCCCUUCCGUGUCGAAGCUAACGCGAUAAGCUCACCGCCUGAGGAGUACGGCCGCAAGGCUAAAACUCAAAGAAAUUGACGGGGACCCGCACAAGCGGUGGAGUAUGUGGCUUAAUUCGAUGCAACGCGAAGAACCUUACCUGGCCUUGACAUGCAUUGUGUCGUCGGUGAAAGCCGGCUAGUCCUGGAAACAGGACGCUUUGCACAGGUGCUGCAUGGCUGUCGUCAGCUCGUGUCGUGAGAUGUUGGGUUGAGUCCCGCAACGAGCGCAACCCUUGUGGUCAGUUACUAACCGGCUUAGCCGGAGGACUCUGGCCAGACUGCCCUGUCAAACGGGGAGGAAGGUGGGGACGACGUCAAGUCAGUAUGGCCCUUAUGGCCAGGGCUGCACACGUACUACAAUGCCCGGUACAAUGUGAACCGAAACCGCGAGGUGGAGGAAAUCGCUCUUGAAAACCGGGCCCAGUUCGGAUUGGAGUCUGCAACUCGACUCCAUGAAGUCGGAAUCGCUAGUAAUGGCGUAUCAGCAACGACGCCGUGAAUACGUUCCCGGGUCUUGUACACACCGCCCGUCACAUCAUGGAAGUCUCCUGUACCCGAAGCACGUGCGCCAACACUUUUAGGAGGC
rnacentral:rRNA from 1 species